rnacentral:snRNA from 1 species
AACGCAUAGUUUGCUAAUCCAUC